GGGGGGGGGGGGGGGGGGGGGGGGGGGGGGGGGGGGGGGCGGGGGGGCCGGGGGGGUGUGGGGUGCUGGGGUGGCGCGCGGGUGGGUGGCGCGGGGGUAAGCUGCCCUUGACUUUGGGGUAACUUCAGGAACCGGGGGCUGGUGCCGGGGAGGGGCGCCUGCUGCCUGGUGGGGGUUGGCCAGUUUCGGCGGUUGGGGCUGGACUCGCGGCUUAUCCGCUUGUUGGUGGGGUAGUGGCUUACCAAGGCGUUGACGGGUAGCCGGCCUGAGAGGGUGACCGGCCACAGUGGGACUGAGAUACGGCCCAGACUCCUACGGGAGGCAGCAGUGGGGAAUAGUGCACAAUGGGCGGAAGCCUGAUGCAGCAACGCCGCGUGCGGGAUGACGGCCUUCGGGUUGUAAACCGCUUUCGCCUGUGACGAAGCGUGAGUGACGGUAAUGGGUAAAGAAGCACCGGCUAACUACGUG
rnacentral:rRNA from 1 species